CUCUGGAAAUAUUCCCCACUUCUCCUCUUUGCCCGUCUCCUCUGCUCCAUGGCCGCCGCCUUCCUCCGACUCCCUCGCGACAGUUGCCGCCGUCCUCCACAGGUAACUCGUUCCAGUGCUGCUUGCCAUCCGCUCCUCCGACCUCCACCGCAAACCAUCGCUCACCACCUCCACUGCCGCCCGAGUCAACCUGCAUCCGCUAGCCCCGCUCGCCUUCGAUCUCCCCAGCAUCCAUCGCCGCUCUGCCUCUACCUCCGUCUGCCGCCGCAUCCGACCACCCUUGGCCCUAUCCAACAGGGCUGCCUUUUACGCGUUGCUUGCACCCCAUGCUCCCUCCUCCUCCAGAUCCGAGUCAAUCCCAUGUACAUGCAUCAAGAUGCCCCUAUUCUUCUGACAUGACAGCAACUGAUCUGUUUUCUUGUGCUAUGUACUUUCAGGAACUCUUCGAGAAUUAAGAAACCCUCUGUUUUUCUUGGAACUCUUGGCCUGGUUGUGUGCCCCUCCUCUUCUGUGAUUUAUAGCAUCUCCAUAACCAUGGAGAAACCUGAAGAUCCAAGUGGAGAAAGGAAAGGUUGUCAAGCAAGCUUUCUUGAACCAAAUGAUGAAAGAGUAUGUGGAUGCGGCAAAGUUUUGUGGUCAAAAUGGAUGGACAAAGGAGUUGGAGCAUGACAAGCAAAACCUAUCUCAGUUAUUUACGAUGAGGGGAGUACAAAGAGGGCCUCUGCGUGAUCCUCCUUGAUGCCUUCCCUGUUCUCCCUGCAUGGCUUCGCCUCGCUCCCCAUCCAGGCCGCCACGAGAGGCAGCUCCAAUCCAUCAUCGGGUUCCUCUCUCACCCUCUGUGUCCGGGGUUCAGUUUGUUCUGGUAAAAAAUGUAUAAGAAAGUAUAACUUCAAUACUCUGCAAUUGUUAUCUUCUUUGUACUGUAGCCGGUCACAGUAUUGUCAUUUGUAGUGCACUUGUAGAGUUCAAGUCCAUGAUCUGCAGAACAUGUUUAGAUCUGUUUUCUCAUACUGGCACAUAAUAGCAGGGAUUAAUGUAUUAAGCUCUCCACCAAUUCAGUUCCUCUUUUAUUUUAAUAGCUCCACAUGUGUCGUCCGUCAACUCUAUCGCGUACCAGCCCUGCUACCGGACAAGAAUGCGUCCUAAUGGGCGCAAGGUCCAACUUGAAACUACUGGUGCAUUUUUAGUGUUAAUUACUCUUAUUCAUUUUUCAUAAAAGCACUAAAAUAUAGUAUAACAAUCAAUGAUUGUUGUGCUGCCAUAUGCCAUAUCUCAAAUUUACAAAGAAAAUACUAAGUGACAUUUGUUUCUUCUAUCUUGAUUAGCCCAAGUGUUUUUCUCAAUGAAGUGUAUUGGUAUUUAAAUUAUCAACAAGUGGAACAGAUUGUGUUUCUAAGCACCUUACAACAUAAUUUUCUUAAUGCUAACAGUAAUGAGAGCAUCAAUAUUGUAGGUAUGGACGGUAGUAUGCACACUAUGAUGUAUGUUCUAUUGAUUCUGUAUCUACUUGAUGUUGCUCAUCAUCUCUUGAAUUUUUCAAUAUUAUUUCUCAUUGAUAUUGUACAUGA